ensembl:snoRNA
GCGGUGAUGUCUCUUGACACGUGUUAGACUGCUGACAUUCGUGAAGCAAAACUACUGCUGAGC